rnacentral:rRNA from 1 species
CCUACGGGAGGCAGCAGUAGGGAAUAUUGCUCAAUGGGGGAAACCCUGAAGCAGCAACGCCGCGUGGAGGAUGAAGGUUUUCGGAUUGUAAACCCCUUUUGUUAGAGAAGAUAAUGACGGUAUCUAACGAAUAAGCACCGUCUAACUCCGUGCCAGCAGCCGCGGUAAUACGGAGGGUGCAAGCGUUACUCGGAAUCACUGGGCGUAAAGGGCGCGUAGGCGGGAUAGCAAGUCAGAUGUGAAAUCCUAUGGCUUAACCAUAGAACUGCAUUUGAAACUGUUAUUCUAGAGUAUGGGAGAGGUAGGUGGAAGUCGUGGUGUAGGGGUAAAAUCCGUAGAGAUCAAGAGGAAUACUCAUUGCGAAGGCGGCCUGCUAGAACAUAACUGACGCUGAUGCGCGAAAGCGUGGGGAGCAAACAGGAUUAGAUACCCCGGUAGUC